rnacentral:lncRNA from 1 species
CACAGCUAGGGGAGCCAUUGCUCUGCCCACUGAAUGGAAGGGGAAACUGAAGUGCAGCCUCCUGAACUGAUUCUCCAAAGAUUACAUAACUGAUCAGUAUAAGAAGCAUGCUGUGAUAUUGAGUCAAUUGGUUGCCCAAUCACAGACAUCUUUCACUGACAGAGUAACAGGUGUGUGGGCUUUGAGCAGUCGCUACACCUUCCCUCUUCAGGCAUGAUGAGAGGAUUCCUGCAGCGUUUUGCAAGAGAGAUGAAGUUUCAUCAUGUUGUCCAGGCUGAUAUCCAAC